rnacentral:rRNA from 1 species
UACGUAGGGUGCAAGCGUUAAUCGGAAUUACUGGGCGUAAAGCGCACGUAGGCGGCUUUGUAAGUUAGAGGUGAAAGCCCGGGGCUCAACCCCGGAAUUGCCUUUAAGACUGCAUCGCUUGAACGUCGGAGAGGUGAGUGGAAUUCCGAGUGUAGAGGUGAAAUUCGUAGAUAUUCGGAAGAACACCAGUGGCGAAGGCGGCUCACUGGACGACUGUUGACGCUGAGGUGCGAAAGCGUGGGGAGCAAACAGG